UACGAAGGGUGCAAACGUUGCUCGGAAUCAUUGGGCGUAAAGCGCACGUAGGCGGCCUCAAAAGUCGGAUGUGAAAUCCCGUGGCUCAACCAUGGACGUGCAUUCGAAACUGCGAGCUUGAGUAUGGAAGAGGGUCGCGGAAUUCCCGGUGUAGAGGUGAAAUUCGUAGAGAUCCGGAAGAACACCGGUGGCGAAGGCGGUCUGCUGGGCAGUUGCUGACACUGAGGCGCGACAGCGUGGGGAGCAAACAGG
rnacentral:rRNA from 1 species